GUGCCAGAGUGUACAAAGGUAUUUAUAAAUAUAGAGGCUCUCUAGGAAAUAAUCUAUUCUAUCCGCAAGCGCACAGAUAAAACAUCUCAUUGUAGCAUUUCACCAGGAUAAGUAUUCCACGUAUCGUUAUUUAUAAUUUUGCUUAAGAGAACAAGGGGUGAAAUUAAAAUAAGGACAAAAUCUAUCAAGGCAUAGAAUAGAGAUAAACUUGCAAGAACAUGAUUACUAAUGAGAAACUCGUCACACAGUCACUUACUUUGGCAGGAGGUAAACCAUAA
rnacentral:lncRNA from 1 species